rnacentral:rRNA from 1 species
GAUGAACGCUGGCGGCGUGCCUAAUACAUGCAAGUCGAGCGAACAGACGAGGAGCUUGCUCCUCUGACGUUAGCGGCGGACGGGUGAGUAACACGUGGAUAACCUACCUAUAAGACUGGGAUAACUUCGGGAAACCGGAGCUAAUACCGGAUAAUAUAUUGAACCGCAUGGUUCAAUAGUGAAAGACGGUUUUGCUGUCACUUAUAGAUGGAUCCGCGCCGCAUUUAGCUAGUUGGUAAGGUAACGGCUUACCAAGGCGACGAUGCGUAGCCGACCUGAGAGGGUGAUCGGCCACACUGGAACUGAGACACGGUCCAGACUCCUACGGGAGGCAGCAGUAGGGAAUCUUCCGCAAUGGGCGAAAGCCUGACGGAGCAACGCCGCGUGAGUGAUGAAGGUCUUCGGAUCGUAAAACUCUGUUAUUAGGGAAGAACAAAUGUGUAAGUAACUAUGCACGUCUUGACGGUACCUAAUCAGAAAGCCACGGCUAACUACGUG